rnacentral:lncRNA from 1 species
GAUAAAAAAAAACCAUGCAGAUGAUAGCAACACACUAACAACAGUACCAGAUAUCACACAGAUAACAGCAUCAGACAAUAAUUCCAACCAAGAGGAAAUCAUGACUACAAAUAGCAGAGGCAAUAACAGACCAAAACGCAACACACACAAGCCCAAGUACCUCAGUGACUUCGUAUAAGGACCAGGGGAGCUGCAAGCCCGAUAGCAGAUUCUAGAAUUCCUUCUACUUCACGCUUAAAGCUUUUUCCAC